GUGGGGAAUUUUGGACAAUGGGGGAAACCCUGAUCCAGCCAUGCCGCGUGUAUGAAGAAGGCCUUAGGGUUGUAAAGUACUUUUGUUAGGGAAGAAAAGCUAGUUUUUAAUAAAAAUUAGUGAUGACGGUACCUAAAGAAUAAGCACCGGCUAACUACGUGCCAGCAGCCGCGGUAAUACGUAGGGUGCAAGCGUUAAUCGGAAUUAUUGGGCGUAAAGCGAGUGCAGACGGUUACUUAAGCCAGAUGUGAAAUCCCCAAGCUUAACUUGGGACGUGCAUUUGGAACUGGGUGACUAGAGUGUGUCAGAGGGAGGUAGAAUUCCACAUGUAGCGGUGGAAUGCGUAGAGAUGUGGAGGAAUACCGAUGGCGAAGGCAGCCUCCUGGGAUAACACUGACGUUGAGGCUCGAAAGCGUGGGGAGCAAACAGGAUUAGAAACCCCAGUAGUCC
rnacentral:rRNA from 1 species